rnacentral:tRNA from 1 species
ACUUAAAUAGCUUAAGUAGAGCGUGGCGUUGAAGAUGCCGAGGAAUUAAAUUUUUAUUUUUAAGUA